AAUGAGACUGUAGUGUCAAUUCCUUGACAGCAUAUUUAUGGCAGGAAAAAAAGUGCCUAAAUGAAACAUUAUAAGACUAAAACCAAGAAGUCCCUUCUAAACACGAGAUAAAAAUACAAGCUACAUGAUCCAAAUGUUCUUGUAUCAUUUUAGUGAUGAUUACAACUUCCUGAUAUGAAACCCCAAAGCAACCAUGCUUUCUUAGCCACAUGUAAGGACAGACCAUCAGGCCACUGUGCACAACACCUACAUACCAGAAGCACCCCAGAAAACCUAGGGAUGUAUAUUUCAUGAAUGCAUAAUUGGACCUACUUUGUCAUCUAUGUGCAAUGCCUGGACAGCAAGUAAUGAAUAAGCUUUACAGAGCAACAACAAAAAAGAAUAUAUGACAGAGGAAAGAGAAAAAUUUCAAAGA